AUUUAUGUGAAACUUUCACAGAUGAAAUUACCAAGAUGUCUAGGCUGGGCAAAAACGUGGACUCAAUAUGCUGAAAACGCCAAUGCUCUGCAGAAAGAGGCACCAAAAUAAAACAAAGAUGCCGUGAAAUAUAUAGGGCGACAUCAGCUGAUAGAAGAGAAUUGAACUUAUUGCAGGGACGAUCGACAUAUCUUCAUUCUAGAACGCAGAAGCCAAUCAGUAGUUCCACUGAAGUAUCAACUUCUUAUCAAUUUAAUGGAGAGUUUGUUGAACAAGCAGUUGCUCUAAGAGAAGGCUCAUCUUCUAUUUUGAGAACAGAAAAUAUCUCCACAGUUCAGGAUUCCCCCUAUUUCUAAUAAUGUCAGAGAUGUACGUGAUAGCUUCUAUAUUUUUGAAGUUGGGUCCACAUCGGGAACAUGCGCUGAACAGAAUGAUAUUACUAUGCAUAACACUGCAAAUAGAGUAUCCAUUGCUAUUUCCUUAUGGACAAAACGGAUGGCACUGUGGUAUUAAAAAGAUUACUCGAAUGAAUAAUACUAUUAGCCACAGAACUUAUUGUGAAAAUGAACAGCUACCAAGUGUACAAAACAUGUGUUCAGUUGACAUGCUACUUGACAUGGAAGCAGAACUUCUGGAAAAAAAGAAACGAAAAAGAAAUACUGUCAUGCCGUGAAUAUUAUUGUUACAAGCUCUAAAUGAGGGAUGGCGAAGAAAAUGGAGUUUUACAUGCUGGAAGAGUAUUCCAACAAUACCCAGUUGACGAAUUCAUCAAGCUUGAGACUCAAAGGUUAGAUUUCUAUUCAUUUAAUCAAGAUUUAUUUCGAAUUGAUGCGCUAGCGGGGAUUCUUGAUGUUCUAAAACAUGGUGAGCGAGAGGCGUGCAACAUAGGCAGACAAAGUUUUUUACCGGCAAGUUUUAUAGGAGGUCCUAGAGAUAUGCGCCAACGAUAUAUAGACACUAUUGCGUUAAUGCAAAAUUUUGGGAAACAUGAUAUACUUUUAACAAUGACAUGUAAUUCAUCAUGGCCAGAGAUAGAAGAACAUUUAUUGGUAACAGAUGAGGUACAAAAUAGACCCGAUUUAAUUAGUCGAGUAUUUAGAGCUAAGGUAGAGGAGAUGAAAACAGAUAUACUAAAGAGAAAUACAUUUGGAAAAGUUGCUGCUUUUGUGUACACUAUUGAAUUUCAAAAGCGCGGUCUUCCACAUGCUCAUUUUCUUAUCAUACUCAAUAAUGAAUAUAAAUUGUAAACUCCGGAAGCUUAUAAUAAAUUUGUUUGUGCUGAACUGCCCGAAUCUGAUAAGAAUGACUAGCUGUAUUCACUUGUUACUAAACAUAUGAUGCAUGGACCUUGUGGUAGCUUAAAUCCUAAAUGUCCUUGUAUGAAGAACAGAGAAUAUUGUAAGUUCAAAUAUCCAAAAGAAUUUACUGAUCAUACAUAUAAGGGGGAAAAUGAUACCCAAUUUAUAGAAGGCGAAAUAACGGUAAAUUUGCAAAUAUUAGAAACCAAUUUCUUGACAAUUCAUGGGUUGUUCCUUACAAUCCAUAUCUAUUGAGCAAAUUUAACUGCCAUAUUAAUGUUGAAGUUUGUUCUGAUAUUAAAGUUGUUAAAUACCUUUAUAAAUAUAUUUGUAAGGGACAUGAUAAAAUUGCCUUUUUCGUCCAUGCUGACGAUCCAAAUAUUGAAAUAGGCGAGAUCAAAGAAUAUCAAUCUACUAGAUGGGUUUCUCCACCGGAGGCAACUUGGCGUUUAUUUGGUUUUUCCAUUAGCGAAAUGACUGCAUCUGUUUACCAUCUUCAGCUACAUCUUGAUGGACAACAAUUUAUCUCUUUUAAAAGCACACAGACCAUAAAUUCAAUUGUGAAUAACCCCAUGAUCAGAAAAACCAUGUUGACAGAAUUCUUUGUGAUGAAUAGAGAAAUAAGGAUGCAAAGAAGUUAAAUUUACUCUACAAGGAAUUUUCAAAAUACUUUGUAUGGUCCAAGCAAUAUAAAAUGUGGACACGUCGAAAGCAAGGUGCUUUUAUUGGACGUAUAGUCACAUGCCAUCCAAUAGAAGGAGAAAGGUACUAUCUUAGAUUGUUAUUAAUGAACAUUAGAGGACCAAAAUCAUACCAACAUUUGCUAACCGUAAAUGGAGUAUGUUGCACUACAUUUAGAGAAGAGCAGAAAAACGAGGCUUAUUACAAUGUGAUAAUAACUUAGUUGAUUGUAUGUUAGAAGCUGUAAGAUAUCAGAUACCUUAUAGUUUAAGACGUUUAUUUGCUACACUUCUUGUAUAUUGUAAUCCUGCUAACCCGAAAGAACUUUGGAAUCAAUUUGAAGAUUCUAUAUCCGAAGACUUCAAGAUUUUGCCAAACUUAAACUCAAAACAGAUUCGUCAUAUGGCCUUAAACCAUAUUAAUGACAUUUUGCAUUCAAUGGGUCGUGACAUAAAUGAAUUUACACUCACACCAGAAAGAAUAUUAGCUUCUUCUGCUGCUAGGGAGGCUCAAGAUUCUCAUUUUGAAAGAAAUAUAAUUGUUAGAGAAGAAGAUUUGUUACUAGAAACAAAAUUGAACGAUGAUCAGCGAAAAGCAUAUGAUAUAAUCCUCGAUAGAAUAUUUAAGAAUAAGUGUGGAGCUUCUUUAUUGAUGGUCCCGAAGGAACUGGUAAAACAUUUUUAUAUCGCGCAUUAUUGGCUACUAUACGAUCAAAAGGAUUCGUAGCUCUAGCAACAACAACAUUUGGUGUCGCAGCUUCAAUUCUUCCCGGAGGAUGAACUGCUCACUCCCGUUUUAAAUUUCCUGUUGAUAUUGAUGAACAUUUCUCAUGUAAUAUCAGUAAGCAAAGUUCACUUGCAUCAUUGAUACAAAAUGCCAAACUAAUUGUGUGGGACGAAGUAUCUAUGGCCAAAAAACAAUUGAUAGAGGCAUUUGAUUUACUACUGAAAGAUCUAAUGGAUACAAAGACACUCUUUGGUGGAAAAGUUGUCGUCUUUGAUGGUGAUUUUAGACAAACUCUUCCAGUUGUUCGGAGUGGAAAAAAAAAUUUCAUACGAGAAAGUUUAUUAUGUUCUGAAAUUUGGAACCAACUCGAAAAAUUGCAAUUAUCAAUAAACAUGCGGCAAGAACAGAUCCUGCUUUCUGCGACUAUUUGAUGCGAAUAGGGAGCGGAAAAGAAAAACUAAAUUCUCAAGGUAAGAUUGAAAUUUCUGAUUGUUUCAUGUUCCUUUUAUAAGCGAAAAAGAAUCAUUGAAUCUGUUAUUUAGAAUUACCUAUCCGGAUUUAUACACAUGUACUUGUGAUAUGUCUUCGACAAAUUCUCGUGUUAUUUUAACAACAAAAAAUGAUUUUGUUGACGAAAUAAACGAUAUGCUCAUAACCCAAUUUUUUUGUGAAUCUAGAACAUAUGUAGCAUUUGAUGAAACUAUUGAAACGACUGAUCAAAGUCAAUAUGAAGAUUUCUUGCAUACUUUACACCCAGCUGGCUUACCUCCGUAUAAAUUAACCGUGAAAAUAAAUUGUCCCGUUAUUUUACUACGAAAUUUAAACCCCUGCGAAGGUUUAUGUAAUGAAACACGACUUAUAUGUUGUAAUUUUGAGAGGCAUGUGAUAAGCGCAAAAAUUGCAAGUGGUGAUUCAAAAAACACGAACGUAUUUAUUCCAAGAAUACCGUUGCUGUCUUCACAAGAUGAAAAACUACCUAUUCCUUUCAAAAGAACACAAUUUCCGAUUAGAUUAUGUUUUGCUAUGACUAUUAAUAAAGCUCAAGGUCAAACAUUAGAUUUUGUUGGAAUUUAUUUACGAGAGUGUUUUUUCACAUGAUCAGCUUUGUGUUGCUUUAACGCGAGCAAAAAGCUCAGGUGCAGUGAAAAUGUUGAUCCGACCACCAAUAGCUGAUAGCAACGAUGAUCAUACAACACAAAAUAUAGUAUAUGAUGAAAUCAUUGAAGCGUCCCUGUUGUGAAUUGACAGUUAUACUAUGAGCAGUCAUUUGUUUGAGAUUUAACCUACAACUGAUCAGUAUUCUGCAAAAAUUUGAUCGUCAAUGCUUUAAAAGUUAAGUUAUUAUCAUUUAGAUGCUUACUGAGAUUUCUCUGUAUGCUGAAUCCUUGCAUGGAGAUUCUGAAGUUGUAAUACUGCUUGGAGAGAGCAUCAGCUGUCAGGUAAAUGAUUUUCCUCUUGAAUAGAUGCAUCUAAUACUUGAAAUCUUGCAAUUAUGAAACACGAAUACAGAAGGCUCAAUAAAUAUUGAUGAUGAGACGUUAUUCUAUUAUUUUUUCCUUCACAUAAAAAACUGCCUUGUCUGUUCUGUUUGAAUUUUUUUGGAAGCCCGAACAGCAAGAGAAGAAUGUGAAAGGAGCAGAAGAGAAGUGGUCAGUGACAAACAUAAAAUAGAAACAACAGGAUAAGUGUUUCACAUGUCCACGAACACGAUAUGCUCUAUUUUUGUUCCUGCUGAAAGGGGUUAAUAUAUUUUGAUAUCUAACCUAUUAAUCAUUAAUCUAUCAGUUUGUUGGAGCGUUGGGGAUGUGGCAGCAUACGCUCUUUCCUUAGGAUUGAAAAUAUUUGUUGGUGUUGAUGAGACACAAGACCGAUGAGAAUGAGGCUCUACCUUUGAUAUUUGAUAUACCAAAUAAGGCUAUUGCAGCAAGUUUUUCUACAGCAAAAGGAAGUGGGCCAAAAAGCUCUGGAAAUUCCCCUCUCCAUUUGCGAUACUAUCAAUAUGUAUGGUUUUACCGUUAAUCUAGGUUACAAAGAAUGGACAAAUAUACAAACAGAAUUGUCAUUCUUGCAGCAGCUUUGCCCUUAUUCAUUACUACAAACAUAUUACACUCCAAGUCACCAUGCAGAUUUAGAGCUGCCACUCUUUUGACUGCUGCACAAAUAGAGACCACUGAUAGCAUCAGCAAAAUCAUCUGCUAAUCUUUUGUGACAAAUCAAAAUAAGUUUAGACUACAAAUUGUUAAAAUUAUCUAGUAAAUUUAGAAGGGGAAGUUGGUUGAUUUGAAAGACAAUUUGUCUUCGCCUACUGUAUCGUAUGGUUAAUUUGCACACACGCCGUUUCAAAUGCAGACAAAAUAAAAAAUGGAAAUAUGCACUGUA